rnacentral:tRNA from 1 species
GGGUAUAGUUUAGUGGUAAAACCAAGCUACGA